AACAAACGCUGGCGGCGUGCCUAAUACAUGCAAGUCGAACGGGGAAAGCUUUCGGGUGAGUACUAGUGGCGCACGGGUGAGGAACGCGUGGAUAAUCUGCCUUAGAGUGGGGGAUAACUAGUCGAAAGAUUAGCUAAUACCGCAUAAGACCACAGGAGCUGCGGCGCAAGGGGUCAAAGGUUUUUCGCUCUAAGAUGAGUCCGCGUAAGAUUAGCUAGUUGGUGAGGUAACGGCUCAACAAGGCGACGAUCUUUAACUGGUCUGAGAGGAUGAUCAGUCACACUGGAACUGAGACACGGUCCAGACUCCUACGGGAGGCAGCAGUAGGGAAUAUUGCACAAUGGAGGAAACUCUGAUGCAGCGACGCCGCGUGAGUGAUGAAGGCCUUCGGGUCGUAAAGCUCUGUCGCAGGGGAAUAACACAAUGAAGGUACCCUGUAAGAAAGGAUCGGCUAACUUCGUGCCAGCAGCCGCCGUAAGAC
rnacentral:rRNA from 1 species